rnacentral:rRNA from 1 species
CCCUUCCGUACGGGAACCUGCGGAAGGAUCAUUACUGUGAUUUAACAUCUUCCACACGUGCGUGAGCGCAAGCAAAACACGAAAAAACUGUAGUACGAGAGUCAAAACAAACCAAAAAACAAAACUUUCAACAACGGAUCUCUUGGUUCUCGCAUCGAUGAAGAGCGCAGCGAAAUGCGAUACCUAGUGUGAAUUGCAGCCAUCGUGAAUCAUCGAGUUCUUGAACGCACAUUGCGCCCUCUGGUAUUCCGGAGGGCAUGCCUGUUUGAGCGUCGUUUCCUUCUUGCUUGCGAGCAGAAAUGGGGGGGCCCUGGCAUUGGGGCCGCUCUGAAAAGAAACGUUGCGGGCGAAGCGAACUAUGAGUAGGACGCUUGGCCGCCGAACUUAAUACAUAAGCUCGACCUCAAAUCAGGUAGGAAUACCCGCUGAACUUAAGCAUAUCAAUAAGCGGAGGAAAAGGAUCAUUACUGUGAUUUAGCAUCUUCCACACGUGCGUGAGCGCAAGCAAACACGAAAAAACUGGAGUACUAGAGUCAAACAAAACAGAAAACAAAAGUGUCAACAACGGAUCUUUGGUUCUGCAUCUAUAGACGCACGCAGUGCGAUACUAGAGUGAAUGCACCUGUGAAUCAUCGGGUGUUGAAGCAAUGCGCGUCUGUAUACGAAGGCGUGCAGUUUGGCGUCUUCGCUUGCUGCGCGAAUGGGGGGCUGCCAGGGCACGUUAACGAACCUGUGGAAGCCAAUGAUUGAGCUGCACAUUGGACGAAAUCACUUAUCGUAGUGAUCUCUUCAACGAGCGGGCAAACGCGAACAUCG